CACUUCCCGGACUCUCAGCCACACGCGUGCCGACGCGUGCGCAGGGCAUCGGACGCAAAAACGUUUCCUCCAAUCCAACUCUGAGUCUGAGCGUGUCGCGUUCCAUUCCCAUCCCGCCGCUACUGCCUUAGUCCCGGCCUCGCCCCCUCUCCGCGGAGCGCAGCCAUCUCCCUACCCCGAUCCCAAAUCGAUGCCCAGACACCAACCCGUCCCACCGACGCUGCGAAGCUGGAGGAAGGGGAGCAUGAGCUAAGCAUCGUCGACAUGCUCCUCGAGGUGUUGUCGGGCCGCUGCGAGCUGCGACGAACCUCCUUCGGCUCUUGGCGCCUGUACCGGCGCUUUAGCUUCACCUCCAUGGGGGCGCCGCCACGGGGAAGACGCGUGCGCUCCUCCUCGCUCUCCACCAAGUGAUAAAUUUUCUCAAAUUUGUUUUCAAAUGUAUCUAUAGAUUUGUUUUUUCCCUGAGGGUUAGAGUAUUCUAGGACUAAUGUAGGUUGUGAAUAUGGUGGAAUUUCUUGAUUAAUGUCUUGGCAUGGGGAUUCAGUUGCCUGGGUACCAGAUAUAGCGAUGAGCGAAAUUUAAGGCGUGAAUCCCAGGUAGCAGAUUCACAGGAAACUUUUGGGGCCUUGAUAUCGAUUCCCUAAUGUUUGUUGGGAUUGCUUUCAUUGGAUUUUUCUUUGUUGGAUCAGUCACUACCUUGGCGUAUCUAGGCCCUAGAGAAUCGAUUUUGCAGGUUACAUCUGAUUUGACUCAAGAUUUCUUCAUGGCUUUUCAGUCCUAGACACAGCAACCCCUGUACUUUUCUUGAACUAAGUUUGGAAGGUAUUCUACAAAAGUAGUAAGA